CCUACGGGUGGCAGCAGUGGGGAAUAUUGGACAAUGGGGGCAACCCUGAUCCAGCCAUGCCGCGUGUGUGAAGAAGGCCCUCGGGUUGUAAAGCACUUUCAGUGAAGAAGAACGCCUGGUGGUUAAUACCCAUCAGGAAAGACAUCACUCACAGAAGAAGCACCGGCUAACUCCGUGCCAGCAGCCGCGGUAAUACGGAGGGUGCGAGCGUUAAUCGGAAUUACUGGGCGUAAAGCGCGCGUAGGUGGCUUGAUAAGCCGGUUGUGAAAGCCCCGGGCUCAACCUGGGAACGGCAUCCGGAACUGUCAAGCUAGAGUGCAGGAGAGGAAGGUAGAAUUCCCGGUGUAGCGGUGAAAUGCGUAGAGAUCGGGAGGAAUACCAGUGGCGAAGGCGGCCUUCUGGACUGACACUGACACUGAGGUGCGAAAGCGUGGGUAGCAAACAGGAUUAGAUACCCCUGUAGUC
rnacentral:rRNA from 1 species